rfam:Sarcophilus harrisii ctg7180002450726, whole genome shotgun sequence.
CAAAAGGAUCUCCUCAGAUCCACUCAACAACUCUGAAAGGGAGGUAU